rnacentral:tRNA from 11 species
UGGCUGAGACACCAGACUGACAACCCGGGGGUCGUAGGUUCGAGCCCGG